CGUUGGCUGUGAAGACGCGGCCUAAUCCCACUUGGACAAAAAGACCCCGUGGAGCUUUACUGUAGUUUGGCAUUGCCUUAACAAUUUUUGAUUGUCUAGUAUAGGAGGGAGUUUUACGACAACAGUGUAAUACCUCUCGUUGGAGAUUGUUGGGCUUACUUAAUUCGCCUGAAGACGGCGAAGGGAAAAGUGCUAGAUGGGCAGUUUUACUGGGGCGGUACCCUGCCAAAGAGUAACGCAGGGGCACAAAGGUUAGCUUGUUACGGAUGGAAACCGUAAUUAAACUGCAAAGAGAUAAGCUAGCUUGACUGCAACACCGAAGGGUGGAGCAGGUACGAAAGUAGGUCUUAGUACGGGGCUUAACUGAUAAAAGCUACCCCGGGGAUAACAGAGUAGUCGCGCCCGAGAGUCCAUAUCGACGGCGCGGUUCGCUACCUCGAUGUCGGCUCAUGAUAUCCUAGGGCUGAAGAAGGUCCUAAGGGUUGGUCUGUUCGCCCAUUAAAAUCAUACGCGAGCUGGGUUCAGAACGUAAACAACAUUGCGUUCUACACUAGUAAUAGUGUAAUAUUAAAUAUCGACUAA
rnacentral:ncRNA from 1 species